ensembl:snRNA U6 U6 spliceosomal RNA
GUACUUGUUUCAGCAGCAUAUAUACUUAAAUUGGCACAAUAUAGAGAAGAUUAGCAUGGCCUCUGAACAAGGAUGACAUGAAAAUUUGUGAAGUGUUCCACAUUUUU